rnacentral:rRNA from 1 species
GGGCCCGCACAAGCGGUGGAGCAUGUGGUUUAAUUCGAUGCAACGCGCAGAACCUUACCUGGGUUUGACAUCCUCGGAUCGAUACAGAGAUGUAUCCUCUUCUUCGGAAGUCGAGUGACAGGUGCUGCAUGGCUGUCGUCAGCUCGUGUCGUGAGAUGUUCGGUUAAGUCCGGCAACGAGCGCAACCCUUAUCCUUAGUUGCCAGCGAUUCGGUCGGGGACUCUAAGGAGACUGCCGGUGUCAAGCCGGAGGAAGGUGGGGAUGACGUCAAGUCCUCAUGGCCCUUAUGCCCAGGGCUACACACGUGCUACAAUGGCCGGUACAAAGGGUCGCAAUGCCGCGAGGUGGAGCAAA